UGGGGAAUAUUGGACAAUGGGGGCAACCCUGAUCCAGCCAUGCCGCGUGAGUGAUGAAGGCCUUAGGGUUGUAAAGCUCUUUCGCCCGCGAAGAUAUGACGGUAGCGGGAGAAGAAGCCCCGGCUAACUUCGUGCCAGCAGCCGCGGUAAUACGAAGGGGGCUAGCGUUGUUCGGAAUCACUGGGCGUAAAGCGUACGUAGGCGGACGAAUAAGUCAGGGGUGAAAGCCUGGAGCUCAACUCCAGAACUGCCUUUGAUACUGUUUGUCUUGAGUCCGGGAGAGGUGAGUGGAACUGCUAGUGUAGAGGUGAAAUUCGUAGAUAUUAGCAAGAACACCAGUGGCGAAGGCGGCUCACUGGCCCGGUACUGACGCUGAGGUACGAAAGCGUGGGGAGCAAACA
rnacentral:rRNA from 1 species